rnacentral:rRNA from 1 species
AGAGUUUGAUCCUGGCUCAGAACGAACUCUAACUAUAUGCUUAACACAUGCAAGUCGAACGUUGUUUUCGGGGAGUUGGAAAAAGAAGGAAGAUCAGCUCCUAGCUAUCUCUUUAGCUGAUGAGUUGAGAAAAAAAUGGUGAACGGGUGCGUAACGCGUGGGAAUCUUCCCAAGAGUUCGGGAUAAAUCCUGAAUCAAUCUAGAAAGCGGUCUUUGAUGAGCCCGCAUAGUAUUAGGUAGUUGGUCGAGUAAAGGCUGACCAAGCCGAUGAUGCUAAGCUGGUCUUUUCGGAUGAUCGGCCACACUUGGGGACUCCCGGACUCCCACAGGGGGCAGCAGUGGGGAAUCUUGGACAAUGGGCGCAAGCCUGGUCCAACAAUAUGGCGUGAGUGAAGAAAGGAAAUUUCGCUUGUCAAGCUCUUUCUUCGAGUGCGCGAUCAUGACAUGACUCGAGGAAGAAUCACCGACUAACUUCGUACCAGUAGCCGCGGUAAUACGGGGGGAGGGGAGUAUUCUUCAGAAUGACUGGGCGUAAAGGGCACGUAGGCCGUUCAUCGGGUUGAAAGUGAAAGUCACCAAAAAGUGGCGGAUUGCUUUUGAAACCAAUGAACUUGGGUAAGAUAGAGGAGAGUGGAAUUUUGUGUGUAGGGGUGAAAUCCGGAGAUCUACGAAGGAAGGCCAAAAGCGAAGGAAGCUCUCAGGGUCUCUACCGAUGCUGAUGUGCGAAAGCAUGGGGAAAAAACAGGAUUAGAUACCCUGGUAGUCCAUGCCGUAAACGAUGAGUGUUCGCCCUUGGUGCAAAUCAGGGGCCCAGAUAAUGCGUGAAACACUCUGCCUGGGGAGUACGGUCGCAAGACCGAAACUCAAAGGAAUUGACGGGGGACUGCACAAGCGGGGGACUGCACUAGACCGUCCUUAAUGGGAUGGUACUGACUUUCAUACAGGUGUUGCAUGGCUGUCGUCAGCUCGUGUCGUGAGAUGUUUGGUUAAGUCCUAUAACGAGCGAAACCCUCGUUUUGUGUUGCUGAGACAUGCACCUGAUUUUCAAGGUACCUUUAUAAACCGAAGUGAGCCUUGGAGCCGAGUGACGUAACGCGCGUCAGUGCUACUAAGUGCCAGCACCUUCUAGGCCCUUUAGGGCUCAGACUCAUAGAUACCAAGAUAGGGCAAGACCUACAUACUAGGAAGACUCUAUCUAUAUCUAAUUCAAGCAAGAGCCACCCGAUAGUUGGCACGGUAUAGUGGUACGUAGUGGUGAUAAUACUACUGCCACCAAAUGGCUUCUAAAGAAUCAAGGUGCAUGCACCGCUCUCACUAGGGACUGCCAGUGAUAUACUGGAGGAAGGUGUAAAUGACGUCAAGUCCGCAUGACCCUUAUGGGCUGGGACAUAUACGUGCUACAAUGGCAAUUACAGUGGGAAGCAAGGCCGUAAGGCGGAGCGAAUCCAGAAAGAUUGCCUCAGUUCGGAUUGUUCUCUACAACUCGAGAACAUGAAGUUGGAAUCGCUAGUAAUCGCGGGUCAUCAUGCCGCGGUGAAUCUGUACCCGGGCCCUGUACAUACAGCCCAUCACACCCUGGGAAUUGACUUAAUGUAGAGUUCUCCUUUAUAUAGUUUUCAAAUCAGGGCUUGCAAUCCAAGUUACCUUGGUAACAAAGCAUUCAAUAUUCACCGUUAGAUGAAAAACCUGGU